rnacentral:rRNA from 1 species
AUGGAAGAGCAGCUCGCCGCUCUCGUCAAGUCCGUCCACGAGAGCCGCGCGGCCAACGACGCCCGGCUGGAUGCGAUCCAGACCUCCCUCGAGCUCUGGCGUCCAGCGGUGAUGAGCCUGCAGAACCAGCUCGACGAGCUCCGCAUGCAAGUGGGGCGCAUCGCCCUCCACCCCGCGCUGGCGGAAUCGACGGGUCCCGCGGUGGAUCUCGCCGGAGCCGCGGUGGAUUUGGGCCGAUCUGAAGCCGAUCUGGUGGGGCUCAAGACGGGCGCGCCGAAUACCAGCAACCCCGAGCACCACGGGCCAAGCGGCCAUGGCGAUGUCGAGAAUUCCGGGGGUUCGGCUUACGGGGUAGUCACCACCCAGUUGCCGCCUCCGAUCAACAGAGAAUGGCAGGAGAGGUCGUUUGUCAGGGAAGGAAGUGCUACGAGGAGAGUGGUCAACGUGCGGGGUUCACUGCCGUUCACGAGCAUUGGAUUGACAAGAUGGCGCUACGGCACCUACUGGCGAGGAGCAUUACAUGUGCUGCUUUAUCGCGGUGCAUUCGUCACAAGGUUAUCCUCAUCUACCGGCAAAUAUCAAGUAAUAAAAACACCAAUAGAUGCUAACGAACACAAAGUUGGACAGCAUUAUCUUGGGAGCUCCAUGGAGGCUGUGUACUUUGCAAAUCUUCAUGAUCGAAUUCGGAUUUGGCACCUGAGUGAAUCCAAUGAUGAGGUAGAAUGGGUGUUGAAGAAUAGCAUUGGCCUUGUUGAGCCAUCGGCAAAUAUAUAUUUGCUCAACCCUUAUCGAAUCUGCGGACCUUGGAUAUUUGAUGACGAUCAUGUUCUUGACAAAUAUGGCAAUAGCAAAAGGCUUGAGAAUGUGAUUUCUGAUUGGGACUGGGAUGAUGAUAAUAUUCUCGAUGAGUGUGGCCGUCAUCCUGGAUACUGUCCGUUACUUGGAUGUCCAUUACUUGGGUUUCACCCCUACAAAGAUAUUGCUUUCUUCCAUCUGGGGUUAAAAGCAGUGGCUUAUCAUUUUGAUAGCUCAAAAGUUCAGUACAUAGGCUAUAUGCGUCCACGAAUUCAUAUCUCAUGGUCCGUUGAUGAGUCCUUUAUAUACACCCCUUGUAUGAUUGGAGAUCUUCCAGAGAAGACUAAAAGUUAG